GCCUCAGAGGUCUUCUCAAGCCACUAUUGUUCCCAAGGAUGCCUAAUUGCAAUGCCAGCUUCUGGGGUGAACAUGGACCCACUGUCAUCGGGCAAGGUCUAGGAUGGACAUGGAGACCCACCAUCUGGGAGAUUCCAGAGUGGACGUGAACCCACCAUCAUCAGUGUCCCUUGGGAAGGAGAGAACCCAGCAGCAUUCAUUACCACCCGAUGCUUGCUAAUGGUGUGACCUUGAAUGAGUCAGCCUGUCACCUGUCUGUGCCUCCGUUUGUCUGUCUGAGAGUGUUAAUGGCUGCUUAUAAGAGAGCUUCAUGGAGUAUUCAGAAGCUGGCGGGUGUCACCUGGAGGAUGUGACUGGGUACCAGUGCCAGAGCACGUGCCCACUGAGCAGUCUUCUUCACUUUCCUCGAUCCUCAUGAAACAUUCCGGGAUCUUUACCUCAAAGGACUCCAGAGGCUACAUCAUUGUCUUGGAACUGGUCAGUGGCUGGAGCUCUCUCCAGGACAAGUGCUUGGAGGAAGAACCUGGACAAGCUUCCCUCCCCAUACUGUUGACUGGAUCUUGUAGCUACCGUUAGCCACCAUCAUCGCCAUUGUGUGCCUCUUAGGAGCAUUUCCAGGAGGUGAUGCCAGCUGGGGAAAGAGCCUCUGUCCCACAGGACAGCUUCAGGUGGUGAUUCCAGCUCCAGGGUUGCUGCGGUCAACACUGGGUACUUGAGGAGAGGUUGUCUGUGAUGAGUUCGCUUUAUUAAUGACGAAUAUAACACAGAUGGCCUGUUUUCAAUACCACCUGCCACUCCGGUCACUCGGCAGUACAUACCAGGUGUCACACCACUGCCCGGUAGGUGACAACGCUGAAUUGGUCCUCAGGAGCGAAUUGGUCCUCAGGAGCGGAUGUUCAAGGAACCCUGCCUAUGC
ensembl:lincRNA Mirg miRNA containing gene